AUACGGAGGAUCCGAGCGUUAUCCGGAUUUAUUGGGUUUAAAGGGUGCGCAGGCGGCCAUUUAAGUCAGCGGUUAAAUCUUGGGGCUAAACCCCAUUCUGCCGUUGAUACUGGGUGGCUUGAUUGCGGUCGAGGUUGGCGGAAUUCGUUGUGUAGCGGUGAAAUGCAUAGAUAUGACGAAGAACACCGAUUGCGUAGGCAGCUGACCAGACCGUAAAUGACACACAUGCACCGACGUGCUCUGCUCGCACUGGAUUAGAUACGCUCGUAGGCUGCAGUGUAAACGAGGAACACUUGAGUUCGGCGAUAUAAUGUCGUAGGCACAGCGCAAGCGAUACGUAUUCCGCCUGGGGUCUGUUGAUGUAACGGGGAAACUGAAAUGAAUUGCCCGGG
rnacentral:rRNA from 1 species